rnacentral:rRNA from 1 species
GACGAACGCUGGCGGCGUGCUUAACACAUGCAAGUCGAACGGAAAGGCCCUGCUUUUGUGGGGUGCUCGAGUGGCGAACGGGUGAGUAACACGAGAGUAACCUGCCCUUGACUUUGGGAUAACUUAAGGAAACUGGGGCUAAUACCGGAUCGGAGACCCUGCUGCAUGGUGGGGGUUGGAACGUUUCGGCGGUUGGGGAUGGACUAGCGGCUUAUCAGCUUGUUGGUGGGGUAGUGGUUUACCAAGGCAUUGACGGAUAGCCGGCCUGGGAGGGUGACCGGCGACAAUGGGACUGAGAGACGGCCCAGACGCCUACGUGAGGCAGCAGUGGGGAAUAUUGCACAAUGGGCGGAAGCCUGAUGCGGCAACGCCGCGGGCGGGAUGACGGCCUUCGGGUUGUAAACCGCUUUCGCCUGUGACGAAGCGUGAGUGACGGUAAUGGGUAAAGAAGCACCGGCUAACUACGUG